GUGCCAGCAGCCGCGGUAAUACGUAGGGGGCAAGCGUUGUCCGGAAUCAUUGGGCGUAAAGCGCGUGUAGGCGGCUCGAUAAGUCCGUUCUGAAAGUCCAGGGCUCAACCCUGGGAUGCGGAUGGAUACUGUCGAGCUCGAGUCCGGAAGAGGCGAGUGGAAUUCCUGGUGUAGCGGUGAAAUGCGCAGAUAUCAGGAGGAACACCAAUGGCGAAGGCAGCUCGCUGGGACGUGACUGACGCUGAGACGCGAAAGCGUGGGGAGCAAACAGGAUUAGAUACCCUUGUAGUCC
rnacentral:rRNA from 1 species